GUAUGUAAGCAAGGUACUUGCUGGAUCUCUCGGGUUGAAGACUGUGGUAGUCUCAGCCGAGGAUGAGGGAUUGGAACUUUCAGUAGCCAUUGAGAACCCAAAAGAGAAUUGAGAAACAGAGGUUGAGAAGAGUUAGAGAAGAAGACGCAGAGAGGCGGAAGAAAAAGAGGAAUAAAAAAAAAAAAAAAAAAUUAGGUCUAAAUCUUUUUGUGCUCUGAUACCUUGAUGAAUAUGGAAUUGUAUAUUAUUCACAAAGAGCAGUGCUCUAGCUUUAUACAUCGAGAGAGAGCCUAAUUAAUAAAUGUUUAUAUACAGAGAGUAAUGUGAGAAUAUAUGAUUAAAAGUGAUGAUCGCCUUUCUAUAUCUUACACUUGGGUGUGGAUCCAAAGCGAUGGUUUCAACCAACAUAAAUUUCAAAGUAGUUGGCUGUAAAACGUCUUAUUUGUAAAUGUUAAUUCUUUAAAAAUGAAAGGAAAUUUUCAUGUAGCCUAUUGUGUGGAAUGCAAGUCGUUUAUUCCUCAAUUCGACAUCAGGGACACACUUCUACGUUGACAAUGAAAGCCUAGCCACACUGAGCUUUCUAAAAAGGUUAAUUACUUCUUUGUUGCUUUGCUUUUGAAUCAAUACAAAUGUUAUAUUAAAGAUGUGAAAUGUAUCAAAUAAUAAAAAGAUAUUUGUUGGUGUAAUAUCUGUUGAUGUAACAAUUCAGAAAUAAUAAAAAGAUAAAAUCAAACUAAAAAUGAUUGUUGUAAAAAAAAUUAAAAAUUAUUAAACAAAAUACAUUAUUUUCACUUUUGUUUUAAUGUAGAAAAUGGUCAAUUGUGUCUGAACAUAAAGUUGUGUAUUUAGUGAUCAAAUAUAUUCAAAAUAUAUUAACUAGAAAUUUUUUGAAAAUAAAUAAUAACUUUUGUCUGUAUGUUUCUGAUAAACGAUCAUGUCGAAAUAAAGAAAAUGGUUAUAAAAGUGGACUAUCAAUCCCCAACCCAAAUUGAGUAGUACCGAAGUAGAAAGUCACAAAUCAAUAAUACCUAAACAGUACCUAUUAGAACAAUAUAACUCCACUAAUUGUUAUAUUCGUACUUUAGAAAACAAGGAGUCCACCAAUAUAUGCUGCCAAAACUUCAAAUACACCCUAAUCAGGUUACAGGAACCUUAAAAUUUCAAGAAAUCUCAUAACUAAUCGUAAUUUACAAUCACUAUGACAUUUUUGUUCCCGAUACGAACCACUCACCACCCAAUUUACCCCCAUUAUACAAAUCAUAAUAUAUGGUUAAACAAUAGAGAACUCAUCUCUAUCAAAACAUCACAGAUUGUAAGGCCGCAAACAUGGUUAUUAGAAUUUUUUUUAAAAAAACCAUGGUUAACACAAACAACAUUGCAAACAAGUAAAAUAUAUGUUAUCACAUAUAAUCUCUCCUAUCAUUAUCACCCAUCUCUUGCAAAUGCAAACCAAAAACACGAACCACAAAAUUAUACAAAAAUAAUAACCUAGAUCACAAGUAAAGUAUAUCCGGCCCGCCCUACGGACCGACCCUAGUUACUAUAAAAGAACACUAUUCUUUCUUUCUCAGCUUGCCGCAUCAGAAAAUAGUGUUUUUAGAGAUCGAAAUGUGUCUUUAAUUUUAUCACUUGUACGCAUCGUUUCAUUUAAAAUAUAUAGACAACUUAUGGGCUUCGUGUUUAUUUUCUCACAACGGACCAAGGCUGCAUCACCAAGGUGUACUCCUCCUUUGCCAAUCGAGAUCGAGGCCCGACCUGAGUUACAAGAGAGUUGUUUCAUCUUCUUCCUCGUCAAUCCGCAGAGAUACCAGUUACAACUUCAACCUCUUCAAGACCUUCUUAAAUCCAUACCCCCAUGAUCUCUCUUGAAUGCGAUCUCAGCUCAUGGAAGGCAGUGGAAUCUCGACUAUAAAAAGUAUAAUGGUUCUUCCACGAUUUUAUUCCUGGGUUGGGAGAGGCCAAGCUCAUCCUUUUAUGGGAAGCUCUCUGGAUUGAUGUUGAGACGUUCAUCAACGAACAGGUUGACUAAUUGUAUUUACAUAAGGCACUGUGAUUACAUAGCUUCAUAUCCCCUUAUCGUGUAAUGCGAGACAACUCCAGAACCGUUACGAGAACCAGAUGCAUUCAGUCGUCGUCUUUUAUCAUGAGUGUCCUAAAUUGAUAUCCUUUUUAAUUUUUCAGGCAUGCCAGAUGACGAAAAGGCAUAAAGCUCUUGCAACUUUUCAACAAAGAUACAUGUGUCUUCUGAUUAUCACCAGGAGACAAGCUUCUUCUCGGAGUUAGGGGAGAUCCACUUGCUCCUGUUCAUUUCUCCUCCUCUGAUCUUUUGCCUCGCCUUAGUAUCAAAGGCACACCAAUCGAGACAUCGUCUGUGCAGUAUAUACAUCAACAGUACACUGCUGCUUUCGGUGGACGGAAGCUUCAAAACUCUAUCAAAAAAUGCUUAUGCUAUGGGGAAGCUCAAGAUGAUCACUUCUGAGCUUUAGACCGCGACAAGAACUGUAACUGGAACCCGUCCAAGGCUGCGAGUGGAGGUUUCGUUCUGUUGCAGAUGAAUCCAGACAUAUAACAGUUUUGCAAUGUUCUCUUCUGUUUUUGCUUAUGCGUGUUGAGAGUCCUUUUUGAUUUCUUUAGGUUAUCCUGUUUAUUGUGGGACCUGAGUUACAAGUUAUCAACAAUUCUGAGAAAGAUAUCUCUUAAAGUUGAUGGACUUCUGAAUUUGACACUGAAUCAAGAUCAAGAAAAACCCACUUUUGUAGUCCUUUAAUUAAUGGCUUAGUGUGUUUGUUUAUAGUGCAUGUUUGAUGAUUUCAGGCAGAGAAGAAAGUAGACACUAUCUUUUUAGGCAAUUCCUAUUAAGUGGUACUGAAACAACUUCAGUUUCACUUGAGGUAAAAGGAAAAUAGAACCUUAUAAAUUUUCUCCAUGUUAAAGUCUUAGACAGUUGACCUUGUAUAUGUUAAAAACCCAAAAAGAGUCUAUGAGCAGAGGAAAGAAAGACAAACAUAACAUAACAAAUGAUUUUUCAAAUAUUUUCUUCUUGUGUUCUUCUCAUUCUUGAACUUAUUUGUAUUCUUGAUUAUAAAUCACAGAAAGUUUACAUUUAAAAAAAUUAUUGGAUUUUCGUUUUUAAUGGGUUUGUGUUCCAGCAACAUUCACCAAAUUUCAGAAUACUGUGACAGCAUUGCCGUAUGUUAUGGGGUGUCUCCACUUCCCUUUGAAUGUUGAAGCUGUGCAAUGGUAACAAUACAAUUAUACCAGCAACAUUGCAGCUUGUGCUGGAGCAGACCCAGUAGGUUAACUGAGGUAAGCGAAUACUUUUGGUAAAGUUAUUGUUUAUACUGCAAUAAGGAGAAAGAGAAACUCUGUGUCAAUCUUAGUUUAGAGUUGAAACAAAAGCUUUAUGAACUUACGUUACGUAUUCUUGCAAAGGACAACAACAAAAGCUGCAACGAAAAAUCUAUAUUGAGGAUGUAGCAUAUCUAAACUCAAACAUCUUAAGGAUGAACCAUAUAAUCAAAUAAUAUUAACUAAAUCUUGACCGGAUUAUCUUUAUUAUAGAUUAAAAUAUUAAUGUUUAUAUUCCAAACAUUUAUGAUUAAAUUAUAAAUAUUUCGGUGUUAAUCUCUACCUCAAUACAACUUGAUCAAAUCAUCUUCCUAUAAAUCACUAUUUUUUUAACCCAUACUGGUUUGUAAGAUUUAAAAUAUUUCAGUUAUUGAAUGUCAUAAUACACAACAACUCUACAAAAAAAAACAUCACCACAUAGAAACAUUUACAUAAUAGGGCACAUUUACACUUAUUAAUUACACCAUGGGUCACUUUGUUCUGCCAACGUAUUUUUUCAUAACUCUUUGUUCAAUUUCGUUACUUUUUCUAACUAAAACAAAACCACAUGGUGGUUCCCAUUCACUUCCUUAUUCUUCUCUUCUUCUUUAUCAUUUAAAAGACAACGUGUUUCCAUUUUUCACUUUAUAUCUCUCUCUCUUCAUCUAUAUUAUUUUUCAGUCGCCUAAAACCAGAACCAAAGUGAAUCUUCUAUAGCUGCCUCCAAUUACCGAGUUGACUCAGUUAAAAGAAAUCAAAUUAAUGAAGAUAGGAAAUGAAUGGUCGAUUGUGAGGAAACAUAUUAUUUGUAUUUUAAAAUUUAAUUUCAACUCUCUCCUCUCUCAUAUCUCAUUCUCCAGAUUCAAAUUGAGAAAGCAUAGAUAAAUUCUUGAUUACGGAGAAGAAUGAAGGAAGGAAAAUGAGCUGUGUUCAGUCCAAAAAAAAAAAGAAGCUGCUACUCGAUGCAAAUGUUACGGAUCAUAACACUUUGGCCCCCGUGUAUUCUCGUUGUUCACAGUCCAAUCGGCGAAUCCAAAUUACAGUGGUGACUCAGUCCUAGUGAUUUGAAUCCAAAUUUCAAAAUUUUUGUUUCAGCAAGAAUGGAAUCUGAUGGACAUGAAUUCAGUAGCUGCUUUAUUCGUCGCUACUGUCGUCAUAUUUGUUUUCCUCCUCUGCUUAGUGGCCACAAUCCAUGUCUCCUUCAUAUGGGGAAUCGUCUCGAGUACUCGGUAAACACAUCCCUUUCCCAGCUUCAUGUGUUAUCAUCUAUAACAUAUCAUUUGGCUUCACCUCCAGCUUCCACUUCUUCUUGUUUUAGUAAUUGGCUAUGCUUCCAUAGCGACUUAUUGACACAAGUCUUGAAUCAUCACUUUCUUAUUAGGUUUCAUUUACCUCAUUGGCUGGUAGAAUUUUCAUGCUUUGAACCAACAAAAGCUUUCUUCCUUUUGUAUGACCUUGAGAUUUUAGAGAUAACAAUGUUUUUUGACUUGUGUAAAUCAUCAAAGUUGCAAGUGUGUGUUGAGAAUUAUCAGGUGUGUACAAGUGAACUGAUGCACAUGUGGACAGUGACAUCUCUGGAUCUCAUAUCGAGUUAGAAUUUUUUGUAUCUCUUGUACGGUUUUGUUGGAGGGGUUGUGAGAUUUCAUUACAUGUAGAAGAUAAGAUUCCUAUCUCCUGAUCCAAGUCUACAGACUAGCUCAUUAUACUACCCAUCAAGUGUUACUGAUCAAUGUGUACAUCAGACUCAUUGUACAUGUGUACUUAAUUUUAAUGUGUCAUCUUUGUAUCUUUGAAUUACAAAAUUAUAUACAUGUUGAUUUAAUUUAUUAAUCUUUUUGUGUUUGUU